CCCUUAGAUGUUCUGGGCUGCAUGCGCGCUACACUGAAGCUAUCAACACGUUUUCCCUCCCUGAGAAGGGCGGGUAACCUUUUGAAUCAGCUUCGUGGUAGGGAUCGGGGCUUGCAAUUGUUCCCCGUGAACCAGGAAUUCCUAGUAGACGCGAGUCAUAAGCUCGCAUCGAUUAAGUCCCUGCCCUUUGUACACACCGCCCGUCGCUACUACCGAUUGAACGUUUUAGUGAGGCAUUUGGACCGACGCAUCUCAGUUUAACCGCUGGUUUGUGUUGGAAAGACUUCCAAACUUGAGCGUUGAGAGGAAGUAAAAGUCGUAACA
rnacentral:rRNA from 1 species